rnacentral:rRNA from 1 species
AUUGAACGCUGGCGGCAGGCCUAACACAUGCAAGUCGAGCGAGCGGCGGACGGGUGAGUAAUGUAUGGGGACUGCCCGCUAGAGGGGGAUAACUACUGGAAACGGUAGCUAAUACCGCAUACUAUCGGAUAACCCAUAUGGGAUUAGCUAGUAGGUGAGGUAAUGGCUCACCUAGGCGACGCACCCCAGCGGGGCUGAGAGGAUGAUCAGCAACACUGGGACGGAGACACGGCCCAGACUCCAAGGGAGGCAGCAGUGGGGAAUAUUGCACAAUGGGCGCAAGCCUGAUGAAGCCAUGCCGCGUGUAUGAAGAAGGCCCGAGGGUUGUAAAGUACUUUCAGUCGGGAGGCGUUACCGACAGAAGAAGCACCGGCUAACUCCGUGCCAGCAGCCGCGGUAAUUC